UACGUAGGGGGCAAGCGUUGUCCGGAAUCAUUGGGCGUAAAGCGCGUGUAGGCGGCUCGGUAAGUCUGCUGUGAAAGUCCAGGGCUCAACCCUGGGAUGCCGGUGGAUACUGUCGAGCUCGAGUCCGGAAGAGGCGAGUGGAAUUCCUGGUGUAGCGGUGAAAUGCGCAGAUAUCAGGAGGAACACCAAUGGCGAAGGGCAGCUCGCUGGGACGUGACUGACGCUGAGACGCGAAAGCGUGGGGAGCAAACAGG
rnacentral:rRNA from 1 species